UUUUUUUUUUUUUUUUUUUUGUGUAAGCAGAAGGACUCGAACCCGAGACCUCUUGCUUAUACUCCCUCCCCCCCUCCAAUUUUCACUUCAUCAUAUCACAAUUUUCAUUGCCACUCCAUUACAAACUUUCCUGUUUACCCCACACUCUCUUCUUUCUAAUAUUCAGUCUCCACUUUCUCCUUUACUUUUUUUUACCUUUGUCACCCCCUUCUUAGUCCCACUUUUUAAUUUAAUGUAUUGGUGUUUUCUUCCACCAUUUUUAGAGUAAUCUUUUGAACUUUUUCUAUUCUUUCCUGUGUUUAUAUGUUGAAUUUCUUUUUCUCUUUUCUUUCGAAUUUUUCUUUCCACUAUUUCCAAUAUGUUACUGGUGCAUCAACAGUUUGCAUCAUGAAGAGUAGGAAGUUUUGGACUACUUGCAAUUGGUAAUGGUUGCCUCCAAAUAUUAAGCACAAAGUUCUAUAAAAUGCUUCCAAAUAUUUAAAUCAUGAAAAUUUAAUGUUUUCUUUCUAAAAUUCAUAAGAUGUAAACAAAAUUAUGCAAUAUUGAUAAAUUUGUGCAUAUAGCGUGCAAGUAUGUCUGAGUGAAAUUUGAUGAGAAAGAAGAGGGAAAGGACGAUAUACCAUUUAAUUAGAUACUAAACCUGACCCUUUUCAAUUUUUGCACGUCAUCCAUAGAAAAACAAUAAUAACAAACAAAUUACAAGCCAAAAUAUCAGCUCAAAAAUCCAAAAAGAGGAACAACCUAACAAAUUUGAUAUUCAGUUGACCUAUAUUGUCAUUUACUUCUUGUAAAUAAACUAGUUUCCAAUUUUGAAAUUGUAAUCCAUUAUAUAGAUUGGAUCACUUAAAUAUGCUAACAAUACACAUAAUUUUGAUUUUGUAAGAGUUUAUGUGAUACUCUAAUUUAUAUAUUUUAUGCAUUUAGUCUAAUACUAUGAAGCUCUAAAUCUGAAUCUUGAUAUAUUAUCUUAGCUCAUAAAUGUUUGAUUACACCUACAAUUUAGUAUAAAAGACUUGCACCUUAUUUGUAAUUGAAAACAUUCAAAGAACAAGAAAAAAAGAUGAAUAGUUUAUUACUAUAAAUUGUCUAGUGAAAGAAAAUGAUAUGAUAUAAAAUGCAGGUUUCAAUCAAAUAAAUAAAUCUAGAACUAUUUAGAUGGCAAUCAUAAGAAUCACAACUAAAUAUCAUUCAGUUAUAGUAAAAUAUUUAUGAUAAAAGAAAGGAAGGGCAUGGAUCUCAUUCUAAACUAUCCAAGUGAAACAAAAAUAUUGGGCUCCGUUUGGAUUUGAGAGUUUUUGAAAUACUUAUUUUUCAUCUACAUUGCUACAGUAAUACACAAAUAAAAACAACUCCAAAAACACCAUAUCCAAACAAUAUAUCAAAAACAACUCCAAAUAUACAAAAAUAUAUAUUAAUAUAUAUUAAUAUAUAAAUAAUAUAUACAAAAAAUAUGUUUUGUUUAAUAAAUAUAUAUAUUUAUAUAUAAAUAUUAAUACAAAAAUUAAUAUUUAUAUUUUGUUUAAAAUAAAUAUAUAUACUUAUCAAAUUAAUAAAAUAUAUAUACAGAAAAUAAAUAUAUAUUUAUGUACAAAUAGUAAUAUAUUUUGUUUAAAAUAUAUUUAUAUAUAUUUAUAAAUAUAUUUACAUUACAUAUAUGUUUAUGUAAAUAUAUAAAUAUAUUUAUUUAUAUAAAUUUAUAUAAAUUUAUAAAUAUAUUUAUUUCAAAAAAUAAAAUUAAUAAAAUGUAUAUACAAAAAAUAAAUUUUUAAAAAAAAUGAAAUUAAUAAAAUAUAUAUACAAAAAAAUAAAUAUAUAUAAAUAUUAAAAUUUUGUUUAAAAUAUAUUUAUAUAUAUUUAUCUAAAUAUAUAAAUAUAUUUAUUUAUAUAUAUUUAUUUCAAUUUUGUUUUAUAAUAUGUAUAUUAAUAUAUAUUAAUAUGUAUAUUUCAAUUAUGUAUAUUAUGUUAUAUAUAUAUAUAUAUAUAAAUUAUAGUAAUAUUUAUAUAUUUCAAUUAUGUAUAUUAAUAUGUAUAUUAUAUAUAUUAUAUCAAUUGAAAUAAAUAUUAUAUAUUUAUAUAUAAAUAUAAAUAUUUAUAUAUAUUUAUAAAUAUAUUUUUACUUUUUUUAUAUAAAUACAUAUAUAUUUAUUUAUAUAUAUUCUUAUAAAUAUAUAAAUAUAUUUAUUUCAAUUUUUUAUAAUAUGUAUAUUAAUAUAUAUUAAUAUGUAUAUUUCAAUUAUGUAUAUUAUAUUAUAUAUAUAAAUCAUAAUAAUAUUAAUAUGUAUAUUUAAAUUAUGUAUAUUAAUAUGUAUAUUAUAUAUAUUAUAUCAAUUGAAACAAAUAUAGAUAUUUAUAUAUAAAUAUAAAUAUUUUGUUUAAAAUAUAUUUAUGUAAAUAUAUAAAUAUAUUUAUUUAUAUAUUUAUAUAAAUAUAUAUAUUUCAAUUUUAUUUUAUAAUAUGUAUAUUGAUAUAUAUAUUUAUAUAUGUAUAUUAAAUAUAUAUUAAUAUACAUAUUAUAUUUAUAAAUUAUAUAUGUAUAUUAAAUAUAUAUUAAUAUACAUAUUAUAAAACAAAAUUGAAAUAAAAAAUAUUAUAUAUAUAAAUAAAUAAACAUUAAUAUAUAGAAACAGAGCCAAUAUAUAUUUUAAAAAAUUCCAAAAAAAAUUGUAAAUUAUAAAAAUAUUCAAAAAUAUAUUUUAAAAAUACUUCUAAAAAUAAUCCAAAAAACAUCUACAGUAAAAGUUUUUCAUAUACACAGCUACAGUAAAGUUUUUAAAAACAGCUAAUCCAAACAGAGCCAAGGAUCUAACAACAUAACUUGCUUUAUAGCGACAUACUUGUCAUCAUAAAUACCCAAAUAUCACACUAGUAAGUCACAUAAUCUAGAUGUAAACACCAAAAAGUGAAAAUGUGCUUGAAAUCAUUGCAUUAUCUGAAGUCUGUGCAUGUUGAAAGGAUACAAAUACAGCUGCAGAGGCCCUUCCUGGGCCUGGACACGUGGCGGCCCAGGGCGAUCUGAGCUGGGCUUGGACCCCGAGUCCAUGGGGGACCAGCCCAGGCCACACGAUGGCUAGGGCUCCCCAGGGCUCCCGGGAGCUACCCCGCAGAGGGCGGGGGGAAUCCCCCUCAGUGCGGGAUGGAGAGCAAUCCAGGGCAAGUCCCGGAACGUACGGAGGUCGGACUCCUUAGCAGGUAUAAACAGUAACACGCAAUGACUGCGCACGGUUCGCUCACUGAUUGACUGGACAACUCCUCUCGACUGUUUACUUCCCGUGAACCUUACUCACCGGAAAACUAACUUGACCGUCGGAGUACCCUCGGGGACAACCUCAGGGCCCCUGUCAGUCCACUUUCUUGUUCAUCUUUCAGGCUUAGGACGCGCACUCUCUGCCAUCCAGCCGAGCUCAUCAGGUCAGCUCGGUCGGGGGAAGUUCCGUGCUUCUUCAGUUGGCGCCGUCUGUGGGAACGAAGGUACGAUUAUUUGUGUUGAUGGCGAGAACGCGUUUCAAGCGAACCAUGGAUAACACUGAUCCCGGAGCCGGUGAGGGAUCCCGGCGGUUGGAAACUGAGGCAGCCCGAGGCGCCGGGGGCUCGGCCCUUUCCGGGGAGCGAAGACAGCAGAUCUAUCAGUUUGUAACCGAAAAUCUCCCCAUGCUGAAAGAUAUAAUCCAGCAGGCGAAGGAGGGAGGUGAGGCCGGCGGUACGCAAACCUCCAAGGCGAAGGGGAAGGAGAGGGAGUCGCUCCCCAUUCCCUUGGAGGACGAGUCCCGGGACCAGCCCCCUAGGAGGAAACGACCGCGGACUCCUCCCAAGCCGCGAGCCUCGGUGGUCGGGGACAGUGAGAGAUAUUCUCGCGACCGGUCCGCUGGGGGCCGACUGAGGAAUCCCUCCUCAUGGAAGCUUGCGCGGAACGAGCCGGAGCGCUCCCCCACCCGGUCUGUCAAGAGCCGGCCGAGGGACCCUCCCCAAUGGCAGCCCGUCCGGGACGAGCUCGAGCAGAUCCUGCGACCACAACCGUACGAGGACAACUAUGCAGUCUCGCCCUUCACCCGAGAGGUCGAGGACUACCCGUUACCGCGGAGGUUUAAAAUCCCGAACAUCGAGCUGUACGAUAGUUCGACUCACCCGGAAGACCACCUCUCGGUCUUCCUGACGCAUAUGCGUCUACAAACCGCCGCGGAUGCCCUCCGUUGCAAGACCUUCCCCAUGUUUCUUAAGGGUAAGGCCCGGCUCUGGUUCCAGGGCCUAGCACCGAGGUCUAUCCGGAGUUUCACUGAGCUGGCCAGACAGUUCGCCGUCCAAUUCGUCUCCUCGAAGACUUAUUCGAAAAACGCGGCCCACCUGAUGGCCAUCAAGCAAAAGCCGGACGAGUCCCUGAAGAAUUUCAUGACGCGCUUCAACACAGAAAACCUGCAGAUCAGGGACAAGGAUAAGAAGGUGGUCAUGGCUGCUUUCAUGAACGGGCUAAGGGUAGAGGAGCUCUACUACAAGCUUGUCGAACAGCUCCCUAUGAAUCUGGGAGAGCUCUUGACCCGGGCUCAUGCCGCUGCUAACGCAGAGGAGGUUGGCAGCCUGAAACGAGAAUCCGAUCGGGAUCUCGGGGACCGGAAAGGACGGGCAAAUCCCCCUGACGCAAAGGACGGCCAGACCAAGAAGAACGUCUUCGAUCGCCUCUCUAAGGAUAAAGCCCCUGCUCCGCCACCGAUCCCAGAGAAAGGCUAUACCCCCCUAACUCGGCCCAAGGCCCAAAUCCUGGUUGUCAUGGAGACAGAGGGCCUGGGGGACCGGCCGCCUAAAAUGGGCACACCUCGGAAUAAGAGUAAUCAGGACCGGUACUGCGCCUUCCACAGGGACGUCGGGCAUGACACUGAGCGGUGCUGGGCCCUAAAAAUGGAAAUCGAAGACCUUGUUCAGCGCGGCUUCCUGGGGCGAUUUGUGCAACAAGGCCGCCCAGGCCAGGAUCUGGGACGCACCUACCGUGGAGAAAGAGGCGAGGGCCAGCAUCGUGACCGACCUGAUCGGCGUGGCGUACCCCAGGGUUAUUCCCCCGACCAGGACGCCCAGAACUUGGCUGGUGUGAUAAACACCAUUGCCGGCGGUCCCAGGGGGGGACAGCCAUGCCGCCCGGAAGAACAAGCGAUCUCCCCCCGAGGGGGACGACUCCCUAAAACGCCUGCGCGUGGACGAGGAGAUCACCUUCGGGCAGAGAGAUGCGGUUCCCCUAGCAUCUGGGAACCAUGAGGCCAUCGUCAUCGAUGUUGUGACCAACAACUACCGGGUGAAGAAGGUGUACGUCGAUCAAGGGAGUGCGGUCGACAUUAUGUUUUAUCGGGUGUUCAAAGAGCUCGGCUUGGAGGACGGACAGCUAACCCCUGUCCGAACACCUCUGGUAGGCUUUACGGGACCACCCAUCAACCCGGAGGGGAUGAUCACCCCGAUGGUCACAGUAGGUCAGGCACCCAGAUGCCGGACCAUCCCUGUCAAUUUUGUGGUGGUCAAGCAGCCUUCCCCGUACAACAUGUUCCUAGGUCGGCCCGCUCUGAAUGCCCUCCGAGCUAUUCCUUCAACGCUCCACCUCAGCGUCAAAUUCCCCACCUCGGGAGGAGUUGCCGAGGUGCACGGAGACCCAGAGGUGGCCCGAACUUGCUACCUAGCCAUGCUCCGGGGCCACGAGAAGUUGGUCGCUCAGGCGACCAGCUUGGAGCCUUAUAUCCCGGGGGAGGAGGAACGGCAGCUGGACACUCAGGAUGAGAUCGAGGAGUUUCCGUUGAAGGAGGACAGGCCUGACCAGGUAAUCCGCAUCGGGGCGUCACUAUUGCCCAAGGAGAAGGACGGCUUGAAAGCCCUCCUGAGGGAGUACGCCCAAGUUUUUGCUUGGACGGUCGAGGACAUGCCAGGGAUUCCGACCGACCUUGCCGUCCAUCACCUCAACAUAAACCCCCGCUUCAAGCCAGUGAAGCAGAAGAAGAGGAACUUCACUCCGGAGAGAAAUGAGGUGAUCAGGAAGGAGGUCGGAAAGCUGUUGGAGUCCAAAAUCAUCAUGGAGAUCUACUACCCGACUUGGCUAGCCAACCCAGUUCUGGUAAAAAAGGAGGACCAGUCCUGGAGGAUGUGUGUUGACUUUACGGAUCUCAAUAAAGCCUGCCAGAAGGACUGCUUCCCCUUGCCGAGGAUCGACAGGUUAGUAGAUGCUACUGUUGGUUUUGAUGUUUUGUGUUUCCUAGAUGCCUUUAAGGGAUACCACCAGAUAGAGAUGGUCGAGGAGGAUCGGGAAAAAACAUCGUUCAUCACCGAGGAAGGAACUUACUGCUACCGGACGAUACCCUUCGGACUAAAGAACGCUGGAGCUACUUACUAGCGCUUGGUCAACAAAUUGUUCCAGGACCAGAUCGGCAGGAACAUGGAAGUCUAAGUGGACGAUAUGAUCGUCAAGAGCCGAACUGAUCAGCAACUCGUCCCCACCCUUAGGAAAAUCCUGAGCAUCCUGCGGGAGAGCCGGAUGCGGCUAAACCCAAAGAAAUGCACCUUCGGAGUUUUCUUGGUCUCCUGAGAAGGGAUCCGGGCCAACCCCGAAAAACUCCAGGCCAUCAUGGACAUGGCCCGUCCACGGAAUGUAAAGGAGGUCCAGCGACUUACGGGAAGGAUGGCUGCCCUGAAUAGGUUCCUUUCACAGUCCGCCGUGAGAGGGCUCCCCUUCUUCCGAAUCCUUAAGGUGCCCAAGGACUUUCAAUGGACCGAGGAGUGCCAGAAGGCCUUUACCGACCUAAAGGCGUAUUUGGCCGAGCUACCCACUCUGACCGCUCCGGAACAGGGAGAGACCUUGUUCCUGUACUUGUCCGCUUGCAACGAGGCCAUCAGUGCGGUUUUGGUGCGGGAGGACAGGGGGGUUCAGAAGCCAAUAUAUUAUGUCAGUCGUGCUCUACAAGGGCAGGAGACGCGGUAGACGCCGGCUGAAAAACUGGUCCUGGCUCUGGUGCAUGCUGCCCGGAAGCUCCGACCUUACUUCCAGGCCCACAGCAUCAUGGUCAGGACCGAUCAGCCCCUGCGACAGAUCCUCACAAGGCCUGAGGUCUCGGGCAGGAUGAUCAAGUGGGCCGUCGAGCUUGCCGAGCACGACAUCGGCUACCAGCCUCGCACCGCAAUCAAGGCUCAGGCCCUGGCGGACUUCCUCGCCGAGGGAGCCAGCCUGUCCACCGCUGAGAUGAGCUCUUUGCCCGAAUAGGCCAGGUCAGAACAGCCCUGGGUGCUAUUCGUGGACGGGGCUUCGAGCAAGGAGGGAAGCGGGGCCGGUCUGCUGCUCACCUCGCCAACGGGGGAAGAGCUGACUUAUGCUCUCCGGUUUGACUUCCCCGUGUCUAACAAUGAGGCUGAAUAUGAGGCCCUAUUGACGGGAUUGGGGAUAGCCCACCAGAUGGGUAUUACCGCGAUCAAAGUCCGGAGUGACUCUCAGCUCAUCGUCCUCCAAGUUUGCGGGGAAUACGAGGCCAAGGAGGAGGUCAUGAAGAAGUACUUGGCCAAGGUGCAGGAGGCGACAGCUCUGUUUGAUACAUUUGAAAUUGAGCGGGUGCCUAAAUCGCAAAACAAGCGCGCAGACGCCCUUUCAAAGCUGGCAUCCUCCUCGUUUGCGCACCUGAACAUGGAAGUUCUGGUGGAGGUGGUAAAGCAGAAAAGUAUCGACCAGGUCCAAAUCCUGUCUAUAGACAGCUCGGCCACCUGGAUGACCCCCCUCGUAAGCUUCCUCAGCUAGGGCACCCUCGCCGAGAACAAAACCGAGGCUCGUCGGAUCCAGUUCAGAGCUGCCAAGUACGCCUACGCUGGGGGAACCCUCUACAGGAGGUCAUACUUAUCCCCCUGGCUAAAGUGCGUGACUCCCGAAAAGGGCGAUUACGUCCUCCGCGAAGUCCAUGAAGGAUUAUGCGCGGCGCAUGUCGAGUCCCGGGUACUGGCCAAAAAGUGCCUUCUCCUGGGCUACUAUUGGCCUUCGAUUUUCCAAGAUGCGGCUGCUCUGGUUCAAAAAUGUCGAGCCUGUCAGGUGCAGGCCCCGCUGCGCCAUCAACCCACCCAAGAGAUGGUCCCCAUCCACAGUCCCUGUCCUUUCGCCCAAUGGGGGAUAGACCUCCUGAGUCCCUUCCCCCGAGCUCCGGGCAGGUACGAAUACCCCGUGGUAGCCAUCGACUAUUUCACGAAAUGGAUGGAAGUCGAACCCCUGGCCACUAUCUCCGGUAGAGCGAUUCAGAAGUUCUUCUGGAAAAACAUAGUCUGUCGCUUCGGAAUCUCGCAUGCCCUAAUAUCCGACAACGGGGGACAGUUUGCUGAAAAUCCCUUUAAAAGUUGGUGCGCCGAGCUCGGGAUUAACCAGCACUUCACCUCGGUCGGACACCCCCAGGCCAACGGUCAGGUGGAGAAUGUCAACCGAACCGUUCUGCAGGGACUAAAGACUAGGUUGGAGCAAGUCCAGUCUAAUUGGCUAGACGAACUGCCUAGCGUCCUCUGGGCUUACCGCACCACGCCCAGAACGGCCACCCACGAGACCCCGUUCUCUCUGACUUACGGAGUGGAGGCGGUGGUACCCGCGGGGAUUGCUCCUUGUUCUAAGGAAAAACUCGGUCAGCCGAGCUCACAGCUCCAACAAGCUCAACCCGAACUGGGAGGGCCCUUACCAGGUCCUCGAGGCAAGCCAAGCUGGCUACUGCAAGCUCGCGAAAAUAGAUGGAUCAGAGGUACCCCGCACCUGGCACUUCUCCAAUCUGCGACUGUUUGUAGCAUAGGUUGGACUAGGGUGUCCGUUUGUCUGUUCUCUGGAAUUCGAAUUUCAGUCUCAUUACUCAAUAAAAGCUCACUUAUUUGUGAUUUUAUUUGUACUUGUUUGCUUUUUAAGUUUGAAUCUUACACUAGCACACUUAGCGUUCCCUUACUAAAUGUCCUAGUGGGGGGCUAGGGGGUAGUACUGGAUGCAAGAGUGUUCGCUAGAGUGUUCGACCCAGGAGGUCGGCACGACUGGAAAACUUUGAAGAAUUUUGAAGGAUUCUAAAGAUUCCACGCUCGACCCAGGAGGUCGGCGGGCGCCAUCGCAAGGCGCGAUGCUCGACCCAGGAGGUCGGCACGAACACCUUCAAGGUCGGAUGCCCGAGGAUGCAAGAGUGUUCGCUAGAGUGUUCGACCCAGGAGGUCGGCACGACUGGAAAACUUUGAAGAAUUUUGAAGGAUUCUAAAGAUUCCACGCUCGACCCAGGAGGUCGGCGGGCGCCAUCGCAAGGCGCGAUGCUCGACUCAGGAGGUCGGCACGAACACCUUCAAGGUCGAAUGCCCGAGGAUGCAAGAGUGUUCGCUAGAGUGUUCGACCCAGGAGGUCGGCACGACUGGAAAACUUUGAAGAACUUCGAAGGAUUCUGAAAAUUCAACGCUCGACCCCGAGAGGUCGGCACUGAUUAAGGCUUCCGGAUGCAUGCUCGACCCCAAAAGGUCGGCAAGGGUUAAAGCUGGGAAGUCUGAGAGCACGACGCUCGGCCGCGAGAGGUCAGCGGGGAAACUAAGAGGUUCGACGCUCGACCCGGGAGGUCGGCGGGAAAAAACCUUAAAGACUUGGUGCCCAGCCCCAAGAGGCUGGCGCGUUGCCCUGGUAGGGCGGCAUGGUGCUCGACCCGGUAGGUCGGCACAGGGUUUCGACAACCUGGUUCUCUCUAAUGAUUUAGUUGUUAGAUUAACGAGGAUAUGCGUUGGGUGCUCGACCCAGGAGGUCGGCACCUGGCUUUGGUUGUUACAGAGGGGUGCAGGAAGAAAUUGCAAGGAAAUCCCCUUCGAAUUUCGUAUAUGCAUUCAAAGCUUGUCUAUUACAAAACUUCCAGCCUGUCUAUUACAAAACUUACAUCCUAUCUAUUACGACGCUCACCGAGCUAUACAAGGAAAGGGGGGCCUAACUACGUCUUCUUCUUGCUGGCGACCUGCUUGAGGUGGGGGCUGAAAGUACACCUUAAACAUGCUGAGAGAUAGGAGCUGAAGGUACACCUUAAGCAUGUUGGAGGUCGGGUGGAGAAGGCUGUUAAAAAGGAAGAUGGACCCUCAAGAGCAUUUUCAACUGGAGCAUGGUCACAUCCUUAUGUCAGGUGGAGAAGGCUGUUAAAAAGGACCUGGGGAGCCUUUCCGUCUCAGAUGGACCCUCAAGAGCAUUUUCAACUGGAGCAUGGUCACAUCCUUAUAAGGAGACGGAAAGGGUUUCUGGAGUGGCCGCUGCCCUAGGCCACAGGCUCCUUCCCGGAAGCCCUGCCAGGAGUCUCCUCCUCCUCCAAGGGAAGCUCCGCCAGCUCUGCCCCCACGUCGCUCCUUCCCAUCAGUUCCUUCAGGGCAUGCCCCUUGCGUUACCCAUCGAAGAGCCAGUCCAGCUUCUCCUCGGCCGCGGGAUUGUAGUCCUUGAAAUCCGCCAAGUUGAAGCCGGGUGGGUUGAGGCCCUUCACCUUGUCCAGGGUCCACGUGGCGCCCAUCUGGAAGAUGGGCUGAUUGAGGCUGGCCACGUCAUCGGCGAACUGAUCGGAGCAGAUGAAGUCCCGGACAGCCUUCUUGCGCUCCCGGCUGAUGGCGCCAGAGAGCUCAAAGGCGUGCUCCUCCUUCAGUUUCGCCACGCCCUUCUUCUCCUGGUCCAGCUCAGACCGGGUGGAGGCGAGCUGGACUUGGGAGUCCUCCAGCCCCUUCUCAGCCUUGCCCAACUUGGCCUUAAGGGAGUCUACCUCCUUAAGGGCCUUGGCCAGCUUCUGCUCAGCCUCCCGAUUCUUCUUUUGCAUCUUCUCCAAGUCGGGAGACAGCUCGGAGAAGCGGGUCACCAGGGCAGCACCGGCGGCGUUGGCCUGCAGAAAUGAAAGUAAGAGUCAGCACACUGCUAACCCCGUUCAGAGAAAGAGCAGGGGCCCAAAGGACCUAAGAGGGAGAGGGCUUACUUGGGCCUGGGCGGUGUAGUACAUGUCCUGGAACUCGGACGGAGUAGCCAGCUCCAUCCACUUCUUGUCACGUGGAAGGACUGAGCCCGUGACCAGUUCGCGAGCCACCUCGGGGAAUUGGAUUUGGUCAUUGAUGGAGAGCUCUCAAGACGGGCAGAAACGUCGGGGAUCAUGCAGUGUGGGGGCCUGCCCCGGCUUCGAGGGGGCCACGUGACGGAAGUGCCACAAGCUCGGGGGGCGCUCUCCUGGGCGUGCUCCUCCGCGGAGCCUACCCCCAGGUGGACGAGGCCCCCGGACGUCAGCUGGAAAGGGCGCUGUGCCUGGCCCUGCGCAGGUUUCUUCCCGAGCUGGGAGGGCUCGUCCUCUCGUCCCCUCUUCGGCCCCGUUGCCUUCUUUUUGCUGGGGGCCUGCUUGGAGGGGGACUGAGUCGCAGAGGCCUCCUUCUGGGGGGUCGAGCUGCCCCCAGGAGUUGCAGAGGCCUCAGGGGCCUUCUUGGGCGCCUCAGGCUGUGUGUCGGAGGCGACCUCCUCAGUUGACGCGCCCAGCAGCCUGGAGAGCCUCUUCACUGCAGAGAAUACCGCCGAAUUAGUGCUACAAGUCAGAGAAAUAAAGGAGAAAAGGCAGCAAAUAACAGGAAAACAGGAGCAGUAUUACAGGUAUCUCGAUCGGCGGGGGAGAACUCCACCCCUCCGGGGGACUCGGACAACUUCCCCAACAGCCCGGUUGCGGAAAUCUGUUCGGUGGAGAACUUGGCUGCGUACAGCUUCGUCGCAGAGCCCAGCAGCUGGCCGAAGGCCUCAGGGUCCAGGUCCUCCGGGCAGGGGUCGUCCUCGACCCCCCCAACCUUCCACGCAUUGGGAGGAAAGUGCGUGGUUUUGACAAAAAAGAAGUCCCCCUUCCAGUUCUUCACGGAAGAGGGGACCUCGUAGAGAAGAUCUUGGACGCCCUUCCCGCCGCGAUUGUUGGCGGAGCGGCGGCAGAAGUAGUACCACCUAGGGAGAGAAGCCUUGAGGACGUAGAUGGUGUGGAAGAGAGAGAGAGAAUAGGGGAUGGAGUAGAUCUGACAGUAGAUCAGGAACCCAAUGAUACUCCUGAUCGAGUUAGGGUGGACCUGGGUGAUCCUGAGCUCCCAGAAGCUCAGGAUCUCUGCCAGGGCCGGGGGAAUGGGGAGUCGAAACCCCGCGACCAGCUGCUCUUUGUAAAUGGCUACAAAGCCUGGGGGAGGUCGGCAAGCCCGGUCGGUGGGCUCGGCAGCUCGUGGCUCAAAGGCCGGAGGAAUAGAGAAGGACGCGGCCAGAUCGGCCACCGCCCCGGGCGAGAGGGUGGUCUCCUCCCGGUCGGGGUGACCGUAGUUGAAUUCAGGGUCAUCCCCCUGCUCGGCAGCAGGGGUCCCCUCGGAGGAGUCCCUGUCCUCCCCAGCCCCCUCCUGGGCUCCGCCGGGGGAGUUGUGUGGAGACUUGGGGGAGGGGACAGAAGUGGCUUGCUGCUCGAUGAGAGCAUCGAGCUCGGCCACCUCCUCCAGGAGCCGGGCGGAAGGAGAAUGAGCAGAGGGAGAGCUCAUGAUGUCAAUAGGCUCAAGCAAGUCAGGAAUGGGAAAAUUGGGGUUGGAAGCAGAGGAUGAAGAAGGAGAAUGAGGGGGAGAUGGUAAGGAUGAAGAUGAAGAUGAAGACGAGGACGAGGAGGAAAUGAAGAUUCUGGUGGCUCUACGACGGACCGGAGUCUGGGAUGCGGUGGAAGUGACGUCGGAGUGACCCGACAUAAAGUGUAGGGGGUAGCAAAAGGAGGAAAGAAAAUGCGAAAGAAGAGGGGAAAGGACUUACUGAUGACCGGAGUGAAGAAGGGGAUGGAGAAGUCGCCGGAAUCUGGGUGCUGUUGGCCGGAAAUGCACUACUGGGAGUUGGAAACGCACGAGAAAAGGAGAAAAUGACAAAUAGAGUUAACUGGAAUUUGGCAGCCACUAUUUAUAGGGGACGAAAUGGGGGGGAAACGGUUUGUUUGAAUUGGAACCGCCCCAUGUGAACAUAUUUAAUAGAGGUACAGAAACCGAAGGGACGCGACCACUGAAAGAACGCAGACGCCACUUCCCAAUGACAGCACUGUGCCGGAGGUGACCGCGGCAGAGCAGUGUGAUGAUGGGCUUCCACGUGGCAAGAGGAUAGAUCAGGUCUGCCUGGGAGCCUGACCUAAUCUAGGGGGCUAGUGCAGAGGCCCUUCCUGGGUCUGGACACGUGGCGGCCCAGGGCGAUCUGAGCUGGGCUUGGACCCCGAGCCCAUGGGGGACCAGCCCAGGCCACACGAUGGCUAGGGCUCCCCAGGGCUCCCGGGAGCUGCCCCGCAGAGGGCGGGGGGAAUCCCCCUCAGUGCGGGAUGGAGAGCUAUCCAGGGCAAGUCCCGGAACGUACGGAGGUCGGACUCCUUAGCAGGUAUAAACAGUAACACGCAAUGACUGCGCACGGUACGCUCACUGAUUGACUGGACAACUCCUCUCGACUGUUUACUUCCCGUGAACCUUACUCACCGGAAAACUAACUUGACCGUCGGAGUGCCCUCGGGGACAACCUCAGGGCCCCUGUCAGUCCACUUUCUUGUUCAUCUUUCAGGCUUAGGACGCGCACUCUCCGCCAUCCAGCCGAGCUCAUCAGGUCAGCUCGGUCAGGGGAAGUUCCGUGCUUCUUCAACAACCACCCUCAAAUAAGUGGGCAACAAAAUAAUGCGUAAAGUUAAAGAAUUUCCAUCAUUUUCAACCAUUUGAACUUAUGGAAAGAAGUGCAUGUGACAUGCACGAGAAGGUAUGUUUGUCCCUUUUUAAUUUCUUGGACUUAAUUGAAGAUAUUAUUAAAAACUUUAGCGCCAAUUAAAAAUUUUCAAACAAAUUAAAGGUUAAAAUACAAUGUAAGGAAAUAUAGAGAGACUUGGAAUUUUUUUAAAUAAAAUUUUCUUCCUCUAUAUUUCUUUAUUCCUUCAUCCCUUUCCCCCACACUGCCCUCAUUCUUCCAUUCCCCCCUCCUACCUCUCUUUUGAUUUUCUCUUUCUUUCCAUCGCCUCUCCCUACAACCUUCCCUCUCUUUCUUGUACUUCUUAAUAUUCUUUUCUUUCUUGCCUCUACCUUUUCACUCUCUCCCUCCCUUGAAGAACCCCUUAAUAGAUGGCCCUAUUUAUGUUAACUAUUGCCAUAUUUAGGGAAAAAAGAAAGAACGUUAAGAAAAAGAACAAAGCAAAAUUUUGGGUUGGCUACACUAGAUUGUAUGGUAAUUUAUCUAUAGAUUUUUUUAUAAAUUGUUCAUUUUGUGUGAGAAAACUAUCAAUUUUCUUGAUUAGAAAUUAUGAGCAAGGUGUAAUUAUGGAAGCAAAAAUGAUUCCGGUAAGUUAACUAUGCACAAUAUCAAAAUCAAAGUCUAUGCAGGGUAGACUAUUUUUAAGAAUCCAAGAUUUCAACAAUUACCCGUCUCAAUUGCAAGAUAAAAAUUUAUACACUUACGUAGAGACAAAAAUAAGAAAUAUAGGAAUAAAGACUAUAGCAUGCAAGAACACAAUAAACAAAUUAUGACCCUUGUUGAAAUUUAUCUCACAAUAAAUUUUAUCCACCUAAGUUUAAAUAAAUUGAUUCCUAUCGUUAAUCAUAUCUUAUAAUAACCACUGUAAUUGUAGACCCCCAAUAUUUUUUUUGGCCUCCAAUGGAAAUCUUAUUACUAUAUUACGGCCUUCUUUUGGUUGUUUCAAAUUUUAUAAAAUAUGAUUAUAAAUAAGUAAUUCUAAAAAAUUUGAUCAAAAUUUGACACGUGAUCUCAUUUUUGUGAAAAAAAACCCUUAUAAAAAACUAGUGGUAUUUGUUCUCGAAGAAAAAAGUCACAAAAUCUAUAUAAAGCUAUAUAAAAGAUUUGAAAUGCCCUAACUUCACCAUUUCCAAUCUAAGUUAUAUUAUUUGUUAUCUUUUAUUAGCAUUGACUACGUGUCAACAAGUAUGUAAUAGGAAAAGAUUUGGGUAACCUUAACUUGAAAUUAUCAAAUUUCAAUAGCUACCCCUCAAAUUGUAUGGGCAAAAACUUGGGUGAAACUAGCCCAUAGCUCUGCCUGUGAACUAUGUGGUUCUUAAACACUCAUGUCAUUUUAUUUUUUUUGGCUUCUGGGAAAUGGUAAGUUUCUUUUUCUUUUCUUUUUUUUGGCUUUGUGAACAAGGACAAAUGCAUUUUUUUUUGUCAACUCUCUAAAAAGUGUUGGAGAACAAUAGUGUUAAUAGCCCCUGUUAUUCCAAAAUAGAAAAUGCAAGAAAAGAUGUUGAAGUAAGAAAGAAGUUUCAUUCUCCAGAUUUCUUCUAAUUAUCCAUGAGAAAUAAAGCCAAAUUAUUACAUUUUAUGUGAAAGAAUCUCAAACCCCAACAACCCAACAGAUUAGCAAAGUCAAAUCCAAUAAAAAUCAUCCAAAUGUAGAACUCCAUGAAAGUUAAAAUAAAAGUCUUUUCACUUCUUCCAUCAUCGAUUCUUCACAAAAAAAUUCCUCCUUUCCAUACACAUUCUAUCACGAUCUUCCAAUUAUUAAUGCUAAAAAAAAGCACAAGCAAAAGUUAUAUUAGUAAUUACUGCAUGGUCUUUGCAAAUAUUCACCAGCAAAGAUCUUGAUCAAUGUCCCUAUUGUUUCUUCAUCACCUUUUAAAAUUUUUAACCUCUGUUCCUCUCCCUAGUUGAUAUUCUCCAUAAGCUAAGCAAAGUUUCAAGAAAAUAUCAUGUUUAUGCAAUUUAUCUUGCCUAAACCCCCUUCAACUCCCUCCCACAAAAAAGUUUGAAUUUUGAAAAUAAAGUUAAGGAUUACGGUUUUCUUUUGGUUGCUUCAAAUUUUAUAAAAUAUGAUUAUAAAUAAGUAAUUCUAAAAAAUUUGAUCAAAAUUUGACAUGUGAUCUUGUUGUUGUGAAAAACAGCCCCCUUAUCAAAAACUAGUUGUAGUUGUUAUCCAAAAAAAAAGCAACAAAAUCUAAGGAUUGUGAAGGUAAGGAUUAUGAAGUUUGCAUUUUGAAAAUGAAGUUAAGGAUUAUGAAGAAGGAUGAGAAAUGGAAGAUUUGGAGAAAAGUUGGAGAUCUUUUCUUGUGUCUGGGAUCUAUUAACUAGUUGGAAGCAAUGUUUUCAAAACUAGAUCGGACUGUCCGAUUUGACCUGUUGAACUGCGAACCAACUAUGUCAUCGGUUCGAUCUAGCACAAAAGCUAGAUAGUGCUUCAAAACCACCAUAAACCAUUCUAACCAUGUGAAGCAAAUUGUUAAAAGCUGCAUAACCCAUGACCAGCAGUUUUUAAAGUCUCUAUACAAUACAAUAAGUGAAACAGAAAAUUCUUUUUUGGAAGUGCCAAAGUGCCAAGAUUCAAACUUGAGACCUUUGCUAUGAAUGUUCAACAACUGCCCAACACACCAAACUUCGGUUGACAACUUAUCUUGCCAAAAAUUUUCUUUGGACGUUAUUACUAAAUAAUCCUACAAAUAUUAACCCUAAACAUUAGCUGCCACUUCAAUCUUUCUUACUUUUUCUUCUCAAGUCCAAUUUUCACUUCGUCAUAUCACAAUUUUCGUGGCCUCUCCAUUACAAGCUUUCAUCUUUAUUCCACUCUCUCUUCUUUCUAAUCUUCAAUUUCUACUUUCUCCUUUACUUUUUUUACCUUCGUUACCCCCUUCUUAGUCCCAUUCUUUAAUUUAAUGUAUUGGUGAUUUCUUUCUCCAUUUUUAGUUUAAUCUUUUGAACUCUUUCUUUUGUGUCCUGUGUUUAUAUGUUGAAUUUCUUUUUUUCUCUUUUCUUUCCACUAUUUCCAAUAUGCUAUUGGUGCAUCAACCGUUUGCAUCAUGAGGAGUAGGAAGUUUUUGGGUUACCAGCAAUUGGUAAUGGUUGCUUUCAAAUAUUAAGCACAAACUUCUAUAAAUGCUUCCAAAUAUUUAAAUCAUGCAAAUUUAAUGUUUUUCGUCCAAAAUUCACUAUGCAAUAUUAAUAAAUUUGUGCAUAUAGUGUGCGAGGCGAGUAUGUCUGAGUGACAUUUGGUGAGAGAGAAGAGGAAAAGAGGGACAUAUCAUUUAAUUGGAUAAUAAACUAAAACUGACCUUUUUCAAUUUUUUCACGGCGUCCAUAGAAAAAUAAUAAUAACAAACAAAUCACAAGCUAAAAUAUUAGCUCAAAAAUACCAAAAGAGAAACAACCUCACAAAUUCGAUAUUUCGUUGACCUAUAUUGUUAUUAACUUCUUGUAAAUAAAGUAGCAUCCUAUUUUGAAAUUGUCAUCCAUUAUACAUAGAUUGGAUCACUUAAAUGUGAUAACAUUACACAUAAUUUUGAUUUUGUAAGAGUUUAUGCAAUACUCUAAUUUAUAUAUUUUUUGCAUUUAGUUUUAUACUGUGAAGCACUAAAUUUGAAUCUUGAUGUAUUAUCUUAGCUCACAAAUGUUUUAUUACACCUAACUUUUAGUAUAUCUUAGCUCAUAAAUGUUUUAUUACACCUAACUUUUAGUAUAAAAGACUUGCACCUUAUUUGUUAUUUAAAACAUUCAAAAAACUGGAUAAAAACGAAGAUGAAUAGUUUAUCGCUACAAUUUGUUUAUUGAGAGAAAAAAGAUACGAUAUAAAACACAUGUUUCAAUCAAACAAAUAAAUCUAGAACUAUUUAGAUGACCUUCGUAAGAAUCACAACUAAAUAUCAUUUAGUUAUAGUAAAAUAUUUAUGAUAAAAAGAGGGCAUGGAUUUCAUUCAAAACCAUCCAAGUGAAACAAAAAUAUACGAUCAAACAACAUAAUUAGCCGUAUAGCGACAUAGAUAUCACUGUAAAUAUCCAAAUGUCACAUUAGUAAGUCACAUAAUCUUGAUGUAAACACCAAAAAGUGAAAGCGUGCGUUAAAUCAUCACAUUAUCUAAAGUCUGUGCAUGUUGAAAGGAUCCAUAUACAGCUGACCUAAAAUUUUAUCCUCUCCAUUAUAUUUCGUCUCAAAUAAGUUGGCAACAAAAUAAUGCGUAAAGUUUAAGAACUUCCAUUAUUUCCAAUCAUUUGAACUUAUGGAAGAAAGCACACGUGACAUGCACAAGAAGAUAUGUUUGUCCUUUUUAAUUUCUUGAACUUAAUUAAAGAUAUUAUUAAAAAAAUUCAAACAAAUUAAAGGUAAAAAAUGUAAGGAAAUAUAAAGAAACUUGCAAUUUUUUUGAAAUAAAAUUUUUUUCCUCUGUAUUUCUUUAUUCCUUUUUCCCUUUCUCCCACACUGCCCUCCUCCUUCCAUUCCCUCCUCCCACCUCCCUUCUAAUCUCCUCUCUCUUCCCAUUGCCCCUCUCUACAAGCCUUUCCCCUUUUUUUGUACCUCUUAAUAUUCUCUUCUUUCCUACCUCUACGUCUCCACUCUCUCCUUCUCUUGAAUAACCCCUUAAUGGGUUGCCCUAUUCAUGUUAAUUGUCGCCAAAUUUAGGGAAAAAAAGAAAGAAGGUAAACAAAAAAAAAUCCAAAUUUUUUUGUCGACUACAAUGGAUUGUAUAGUAAUUUAUCUAUAGUAUUUUUUUUUAUAAAUUGUUGAUUUUGUGUGGGAAAAAUUACCAGUUUGCUUGAUUGGAAAUUAUGCGCAAGGUGUAAUUAUGGAAGAAAAAAAUGAUUCCAGUGAGUUAACUAUACACAAUAUCAAAAUCAAAGGCCUUUGCAGGGUAGACUAUUUUUAAGAAUCCAAAAUUUUCAUAAUCACUGGUCUCAAUUGCAUGAUAAAAAUUUAUGUACUUAUGUAGAGACAAAAAAAUUUAUGCACAACAAACAAAUUAUAACACUUGUUGAAAAUUACGUCUCACAAUAAAUUUUAUCCACCUAAGUUUAAAUAAAUGGAUUCCUAUCAUUAAUCAUAUCUUAGAAUAACCACUGUAAUUGUAUAGCCUCAAUCUUUUUUUUUGGCCUCUAAUGGAAAUCUUAUUACUAUAUUACGGUUUUUUUUUGGUUGCUUCAAAUUUUAUAAAAUCUAAUUCUAAAUAAGUAAUUCUAAAAAAAAUUGAUCAAAAUUUGACACAUGAUCUCAUUGUUGUUAAAAAACUCUUAUCAAAAACUAGUUGUAGUUCUAAAAAAGGCUACAAAAUCUACAUAAAGUUAUAUAAAAGAUUUGAAAUGCCCUAACUCCACCAUUUCCAAUCUAAGUUACAUUAUUUGUUAUCUCUUAUCAGCAUUGACCAUGUGUCAACAAGUAUGUAUUAAGAAAAGGUUUAGGUAACCCUAGUUUGAAAUUACCUAAUUUCAAUAGCUGCCCCCCAAAUUUUAUGGGCAAAAACAUGGGUAAAAUUGGUUCACGGCCCUACUCGUGAACUGUGUGGUUCUUAAAUACCCAUGUCUUUUUUUUUUUUUUUGCUUUUGGGAAAUGGUAAGCUUGUUUUUUUUUCUUUGUUAAUGAGGACUUGCUUUGUCAACUCUCUGAAAAGGGUUAGAGAAUGAUAGUUAAUAGCCCUUGUUCUCCCAAAAUAGAAAACGCAAGAACAAAUGUUGAAGCAAGAAAGAAGUUUCAUUCUUCAGAUUCGUUCUGAUUAUCCACGAGAAAUAAAACUAAAUUAUUACAUUUUACUUGAAAGAAUCUCAACCGCUAACAACCUAACAGAUUAGUAAAGUCAAAUCCAAUAAAAAUCAUCCAAAUAUAGAACUCCAUGGAGGUCAAAACAAAAGUUUUUUCAGCUCUUCCAUCAUCGAUUCUUCGCAAAAAAUCCGUCCCUUCCAUGCACCUUCUAUCACGAUCUUCCAAUUAUUAGUGCUAAAAAGGUACAAGCAAAAGUUAGAUUAGUAAUUAAUGCAUGGUCUUUGCAAAUAUUCACCAGCAAAGAUCUUGAUCUACAUCCUCAUUAUUUCUUCGUCACCUUUCAAAAUUUUCAAUCUUUGUUACUCUUUCUAAUUGGUAUUCUCCAUAAACUAAACAAAAUUUCAAGAAAAUAUCAUAGUUAUGCAAUUUAUCUUGCCUCAACCCCCGUCAACUCCCUCCCACAAAAACGUUUGAAUUUUGAAAAUAAGGCUAAGGAUGUUGAAGAAGGAAGAGAAACGGUAGAUAUGGAGAAAAGUUGAAGAUCGUUUCUUGUCUUUGGGAUCUGUUAACCUAGUUGGGAGAAAUGUUUCGAGAACCGGACUGGACUGACCGGUUCGACUGAUUGAACCACGAACGGACUAUUUCACUGGUUUGGUCUUAGUACAAAAGCCGGAUAGUACUUCAAAAGCGAUAUAAACCAUUCCAAUUGUGCGAAUCGCUAAAAACCGGACGAACCAUGAACCGGCCAUUUUGGGACUGUGCAAACCUAGGACCUUUGUUAUGAAUGUUCAACAACUAUCAAAUGCACCAAGACUUGGUUGACAAUUUAUCAUGUCAAAAAUUUUCUUUAGAUGUUAUUACUAAAUAAGCCUACAAAUAUUAACCCUAAACAUUAGCUGCCACUACAAUCUUUCCUACUUUCUCUUCUCAAUUCCAAUUUUCACAUCAUCGAAACAUGAUUUUCAUGAUCUUUCUAUUACAAACUUUCAUCUUUACUCCACUCUCUCUUCUUUCUAAUCUUCAAUCUCCACUCUCUCCUUUUUUUUUUUCCUUUGUCACCCUCUUCUUAAUUCCACUCUUUAGUUUAAUAUGUUGGUGUUUUCAUCCAUCAUUUUUAGUUUAAUCUUUUGAACUUUUUCUUUUCUGUCUUGUGUCUAUAUGUUGAAUUUCUUUUAUUCCAUUUUCUUUUGAACUUUUCUUCCCAAUGUUUCCAAUAUAUUGGUGCAUCAACCGUUUACAUCAUCAAGAGUAGGAAGUUUUUGGCUACCAGCAGUUGGCAAUGGUUGCUUCCAAAUAUUAAACAUAUCUUCUAUAAAUGCUUCCAAAUAUUUAAUUACCUCUUUUUUAAUGGUUGUUUACAAUCCUGAAAGCUUCUUUCUUGGCUUGCAAUUUUUUUUGUUUGUUUGAUUUUUUUUCUCUUUUUUUCUUUGAAAAAAUUCAGUCUAUCAAAUAUUUUUUCUAUUUUUUCAUGCUAUCAAGAAAAUAUUUUAGGGGAUUUAAAAGUCUCUUGAUUUUUGGCAAAAGAAUACUAUUAAAUUUAUGCGUACAAACAUGUUUUUGAAUCCUUUGUUUAAGCGAUAAUAGCGAUGUAAGAGAAGUCAUCACUGACUAUGGGGGGAGGACUUUUCAGAUUUUUUUAAUUUUUAAAAUAAAUAAAAACAGUAAAUCGGUGAACCGCCCUAUUGAAUCGGAACCGACGGCUCAGCCGAGUCAGUCACCGGUCUGUGUUUUAAAUCAUUGGUUCGGAGUGACCUGUUAGCCAAGUUGGGAGAAGUAGGCUAUAGGUCUAUAAGUGGGGCCGCACCAGGUUCACCUCGUGUUAUUAUAUUACCUAAAUGGACAAAAUAGGCGGGUCCAAAAGCACCAAAAAUCUUUUUUCGAGGAACGCUCUCUACUUUCACAUAAACUUCUCAGCUCAGUCCCUCCUUCAAACUGACAUCAUUCUUCCCUCCCUCUGCAACUAUGGCACUCUCAACUCCCAUCCCAGUAACUUCUUCUUCUCUUUCCCUCUGCAGAACAACCCUUCAAUCUCCAAGAAUUUACAGAAAACGCCUCCCCUUUUCUCCGCUUGCUUCUCUGCAAAGCUCAUCUUCUCCAUCUUCUUCUUCUCAUCAUGAAUCAUCAUCAACAGCAGCAGCACCAGCCCAAAUUAAAGUUGAGUCUGCAAAGGCAACCAGUUCAGUAAAGGGGUUUGACUAUGCUUUGGCAAACACAAACGUAGGCCCGGUUGUGAGAUUUGUUGAGUCCACUGAAUCAAACAUUGAAAGGGUAACAUAAAAAAGAAAACAUUAUUCAGUUCAUAAUACCCUUUCUCUUUAAUUUUUUUGAGAAUAACUGCUGCUUUCUAUGCAGGCAAUAUUCGACUUUCGCUUUUUGGCACUUUUAGCUGUUGGAGGUUCUCUGGCAGGUUCUAUGCUCUGCUUUCUUAAUGUAAUUUCCCCAACAUAUACUUUGUCGUUUUUCUCAUUUCAAGUUUGGUAUAAUUGUAUAAUGAUGUAUUUACAGUCGAGACUUGGUCUGGAAUUGUAGUAGUAGUAGUUUCUGUUGUGUUUUGAACAAUUUUACUGUCUUUGAAAAUGUUGAAGUUCAUGGUAGUAUGUCAAUAUAACAUGAAAGUUAUUCAACAUUUUCAUAAUCUCGUGAUUUUGAGAUUGCAUAUCUUGAUACUUCUCUUUGGAGAUCAAAGUGGUAAGUCAAGAGGUUUUGUCCUAAACAUGUUGAUCGGUUAGUUUUGGACUUAAUAUAUGGCAAAACGGCAGAGUUUAUACUGUUUUGGGUCUUUCUAGCAGUUCUAACCUAAAUUAUUGAUUGGCUUUUAUUUUAUUUAUCUGACAGUGGAAGGGAAGAAAUUGUGAGUUUUUAAGAGCAGAGUAUCAUUUACUAAUGAACCAGCUAAUAUGGUAUAGAGAAAAAUAGCUUCCUUACAUAUCUGAUCAAUGUGUUCGAGGAUUGGUAGAGUAUAUCAGGAGACCCAUUUUUUUCCCUUUCAUUUCUAAGCUGUAAGUUGUGUUGAAAAAUCGCUAAUCUUCUUGUGGGAUGGGUUUUCUUCGUAUGCCUAUACUGCAUAGGUGGAAUUUGUAAGCUUGAUUUCUGAACUUCUUUAUCUUUUAACAUCAGAAAUGGAACUUGUCUUUUUUCUCAACGUGAGUUCCCAUUGCAGCAUGCUCGUAAUUUGUCAGGGUAAAAAUGUCGAUAACAACAUAAUAGAUGGCACUUCUGUAAUCCACACUUAAGUCUCAAAUUUUCAAGUAAAUUUGAUGCAAGCAUUUAGUGAAUAUGAGAUCAUAUCUGAGACUAUUGUAUCAGAGUGACACAAGGAAGAAAGAAGUUUGAUGUUGCUUUUUAUCCCGAAGAGCUAAUACAGGAAACUUGAUUAUUGCCUAAAAAUAUGAGGCAGGUCUCAAACUCAAAGGAAUAACAUUUCAGAUUGUUUAUACUUCUGGCUAAUGCAAAGGUUUCCAUUUCCCAUGUACUGUCAAUACUUAGUCUGAUAUUACGUUUAAAACUCUUUCAGAAUAGCAAACAUAUUAGUUGAUUGUUGAAUCUGAACAAUUUGGUGUGUUUUUAACCCAAAAUACUGUCUCAUGUCAUAAGACAUAAAUUAGACUUCACAAAAUCUGCAUAAUGCAAUAGGAUUUUUUGUCUUUGUGGACUGUAGAUUGUCCAUUCCACUGACUGUUUAACAUCUUUCCAGGGUUGCAUUUACAUCUUUGAAGCAUACAAAGUUUAUUGGACAAGCUGCGUCAAAGGAAUUCAUACUGGAAACAUGGUUCUACGACUAGUUGAAGCAAUUGGUAAGUUACAAAGUAUCUUGCUUCGGAAUCUGCAGUCUUAGUUAACAACAGACUCUGCAUUUUACUUUUCCACAGCAUUUUUCCUGGAUCUUUAGAUGAGACUUAAUACCUUUGUAAAUUGUUGUUUCCUCAUAACUGCUAGAGUUGCUUUAGGUAAGAAGUCUCAUUUUCAUGAAAAGCCUUGCACAACUAUUGUGAUGAAGUACGUUGUGAUCCCAAAUUCAACAUCCUAAUUUGCUUUUUGCUUGUCUGUAAAUAGUAAUUUCUUUAAUAAUAUAUCAUGAACAAUCUAAUUUAUGUAACAAGUGUUUGUUAGAUCCACUGUACCCAUUGUCAAAAGUUGCUUUCCGCAUUUUAGAACAAGGAUUAAAAAAAUUCUGACUGCCCAUGUUCUCUGUGCCCCUUUUCAACCUUCCCUGUAUGACAAAGAUCAAAAAAAAGAUUUUUCUUCUUUUACAACAACAAAAAAUGGUUAACCCCACCAUUGCAAUUUUAUACUGUAGAAUCUGAAUUAAGUAACAGAUGACCAUAAUUGACAGCUUGACUUUUACCUUGGAACUCUUACACAUUUCUACUCUCCUCUAAUUGUACUCGUUAAAAUAAUAAAUGCAGAUAGGAAGGUGUAAUAUUCUAUUUGUUUGCUCAUAAUGGUCUCCCAUCAUCUUUUAGAUUCUUUUUUUUUUUUUUUCUAUUUGAAGAUCUUGUGAAGUUUUUUGGGAGGCACAAGUGGUUGUCUUCUCUUACUUAGUCUAUAUAACUUCCAAUUUAUCCUUUAUUGGUACUGGUGAUGAUAGCAGAAACUACUAUUCCCAAAAACAGAAAAGAGAGAGAGAGAAAGCAAGAUGGGGCUUUCUCGUGUGUUUCCGCGAGAUUGACUUAAUGAACACCAGGCACAUACCAUAACUGUGUCAUGCUUUGGAUCGCCAUUGGAAACACUUUGCCUGAUGGUCCAGUAAUUGGAAAUUUCAAUUUCCCACUUAAUGUUACACUACUUUUCCCCUUUAUCAUCUCUAGUCAUGGAGAUUUGUGUCUCAGCACUAAUCUUUAGUGUCUGGAAGGCAAUACCAUUUUACCUCAGCUUUAUACCUGCCUCACUUCCAUUAUUUUCCCGAGGAUAGAGGUAAACCCUUGCUUACUGUUCUCUAAGAGCUCAGAAAAGAACCCAGAGCCCAGACUUUGGAAUAUUCUUAAAGAGAUUGAAGUAGAAUUGCAUUGUUUGAAAAGUAUCAUGCAGAAAAGUAUCUGCAUUUUUCUCAUUGUUCUUAGAUCUUGCUUCUACAUACACUGUUUCUUGGGCUCCAGAUUCAUUAUUAUUCUGAAAGAUCUCUUGAAUUUGAGUGUAAAUGAAUUUUCUUUCUGCUGAUGUAUCAUUAGUUGCUGCCAGGUCCUUUCCCCCAUUCAGUAAGCAUAUCAUUCAAGGAAGUAGGCACAUUAGGUGAAGAAGUUGUAACUUUUUGUCCAAUUGUAGCUAAUGCACUUGCAAUGUAGUAAUUAGCAAUCAACAUAAAGCUUUCUCCUGUUAAUGAACCAGCAUCAGAUGUUCAGGAAUUCAUCUCUUUGAUGGCAUCCACCUCUCCUUCUCAAAGAAGCCUAACUUGCUUAUUUUUUCAUUAUUUUUACUGCAUCCGGCUCUUGGUGAUGUUUACUCAUGUUUUUGCAGAUGUAUAUCUAGCUGGAACUGUAAUGUUAAUUUUUGGGAUGGGCUUGUAUGGAUUGUUCAUCUCUAAUGUGGAUCCUAAUGAAUCUCCUGCUUCUGAUCGUGCCCUUAAGGGUUCUUCCUUAUUUGGGAUGUUUGCACUGAAGGUAGCAUCAUUUUGUUUACUUGCUUACUUCUCCUGUUUGUAUGACUUCUUCCAUGUCUUCUUUGCACUGGCUUUUCUUUUUUUUUUUGUUUUCCCAGUUAAGUUUCCUCUUUUCGUGCAGUAAUUAUAUUCCAAGUGAUUAGUUUUUCACACACUGUACAUUUAUACCUCUUUUUUUUUUGGACGGCAAAUUGACCUUUUGUACAGUGUUAAACAUUUUAUUAAUUAAGAUCAAAAGACGCUUUUGUGCAAACUUUGAGUUUUUGUUUUUCAAACUUUGAUUUGGUUUUUAAAGUUUGAAGUUUUUUAGAUGGUAUCUUUGGUCGCUAAACUAUUCUUCUUCAUUUAGUUUUCCUUUUCCUUGCAAAUUGAUACUGACGCAAAAGUAGAAUAAAUGUCAAAGGAGUUUGGUUAAGUUAGUUUAAAAAAAAUGAUUGCUAAUGAAGUUAUAUUCUAGAAGUAAAUAGUUUUUCUGAUAUUGUAUUUAUUUAAAUGGAGUGGCCUCUCGUCUAUUCUAUUAUAGACAAACAACAAGAAAUGUGAGAUUCUAUUAGUCAAUGACACUUGUUUCUUCUUUUCAGUUGCAUUUUAAAAAGGAAAAGAAGUUCGAGUUUGGUGGAACUGAUCAAAAUAAUCAACUUUAAUCAUGUAUUUGCACACACGAGUUGCUUUUCACAUUGUGAUGUGUCUACACAUCAAGAGUUUCUUUGCUAAUAAACAGGUUUCAUCGUUUGCAGGAGAGACCAAAAUGGAUGAAAAUUAGUUCGCUUGACGAGUUAAAGACUAAAGUAGGACAUGUAAUUGUCAUGAUUCUUUUAGUGAAGAUGUUUGAAAGAAGCAAGAUGGUAACAAUAGUAACUGGUAUGGAUCUAUUGAGCUAUUCUAUAAGUAUUUUUUUGUCUUCAGCUUCGUUGUAUAUACUCCAUAAUUUGCACAAAUCAGAGUAGAAGUUGGAGAUAAACAGCUUCUUGUCCCAUGGACGCUGCUAUGUAAUUUGUAAACCAUGUAUAAUAUGUUUAUAAAUGAGCAUAAUUUACUUGCAUGCAUCCCACAUUCUUUCUUCAUAAGCUUGAUAACUUCUAUUUUUAGCUUUGCAUAUCAGCUGCACAUUUCUUCGGGGAUGGAAUUCUUUGUCAUUCAAAAGAAGUUAGCUUUACUGAUGAUUCUUGAGGUCAUAUAGGGUCAGCCGUGCACGCUAUUUUCUACAUGUAAUAGCCAAUUUGUGAAGAGUCCAUUCUGCUUCCUCGUAUAAAUAUAUCAAGCUGAAGAAAUCCCCUUUUUCCCCAUAAGUGUGAGGUCCUAGAAUUUUUGCUUUUUGUCUUUGGGUGCUGCAGCUAGUAGGCUAAUGCAAUCUAGUCCAUCAGUUCUUGUACAUAUUUCAUUUUGUUGUCACAUUUUUUAAAAUCUUUAUCAAUUUCCUAGCGUUGCACCUAGCCAUAUUGUGCUACCUCAAUCCAGCCACUCCCAAACAACACAAAGUAGUUGAAGUAUUAGUAACUGGACCAACAUAGUGGAAGAUGAGAAAGUCCAUAUGCAUGAUGGCUUAACCGAUUAAGCAAAAUCAGUUAAAAUAUAAAGUUCCAACAGCCUCUGCGCUACCACAUAAUAUAACUUCAAACACUGGGCAUUUAAUAUUCUCCAUUGGCAUGGAGCUUAUUCCAAAGGAUAAGAAUAACUUCUGUUUGCAUACGAACAGGUGAAUGACUGGUUUCUGACACUUGAGUGCUACUUGUUUGCUGUCAGCUUUCCGACGUCGUGGCUUUAAAGAACUGCAUCAGUGGGCAGCUACGAAUGAACUCUGGCGGAAAAGGGGAAUCAUUAUUCUGGACAAACUACCAUAACCAGUUCUAGAACAAAUUAUUCUGAAACGUGACCUCAGCAAGGAAACAGUUUGUGAGAUUAUCCUGGAUGUUCUAGAAGUCCGAGUGUUUAGAAUUUGGAUGGCAUAGAAAUGACAUGAGCUCAGGGUUAAACAUUUUGGAAAUUGACAACUUAUUUCUGAACCUUGCAACAAAUCUGAAAUUGGUGAGCUGAACAACAUGAUGGAUUCUGAUGGUUGAUAGCAAAAGAUGUGAUUGUGGGGAUCGGUGCUGACAGUGUAGUUGAUGCUAUUCCUGAAGGCAAUCUUUUGGCUGCUGGAAAUGGAGAAACAUAACCAAAAGUGGAAGGACAAUACGGUAUUCCAAUUUCCUGCAUCCAGGGGUAUCAUUUAGAUAUUACUGGCUUCAGAAAAAAGGCCAACAACCUUGGCUAGUCUGACCAUUCAUGGCUAAUUUACCAUUGCUAAAAUCAGUUCCUCUGUCUACCGAUUUUCAACUAGAAUGUGCCACAAAGUUACCUGAAGUGUGUGUGAAUCCAAAGAUGUUGAUCCGCAUGUAAGACUUGCCUCCUUUUGAGGCAAUUAUAACCCACAUGAUUGAUUCUAAAGUGAUUGAUAUCAUAAUUAAUUGAUUGAUAUUUUGUCAAAAAUUAAUUAGCAUCUCCCAUUAGAUAAUGAUUAGUGAUUGAUAUCGUGAUUAAUUGAUUGACAUUUUAUCAAUCAAUUAAUUAGUACCUCUCAUUGUUAAUGAUUGAUUGAUAUCUUAUUCAAUUAGUUAAUCAAUCAAAUCAAUCAAUUAGUCAGAAAAUAUUAUUUUCAAUUAUGAAUUUUGGCAAGAUUUCCUUGAUGGAAGGAAACCCUACGGAUUCUGUAUUUGCUAGUACAGGUCCGUAACCUAACCUAUAAAUAGUCUAUGGUAUUCCAUCAAUUGUACAUUUUUGGGUUAGACACAGGUUAGAAGAUUCUUACUCUAAAUUCUCCUUCCACUUUUCCUUCUUUUACAUAUUUUGUUUUGUUAAAAUAGACAAGAAAGAGUCAAAGACACAAGAAAAGAUCAACUUGUGCUUGACAACAAUGGUUAGAGGUAAGUGUAUUUAGAUUUUCGCUGUAGAGUACAUUCAUAUGUAUAUAAUUAGUUAACAUGUGGUAUUAGAGCAAACCUCUAACCAUGUUGUUCAGCUUGUAACUUCAUGGCCUUUUGACAAUCGGGUAAAAGUUUUAGAAAUUCAUAUCAAGUUUGAAUGAAUCAAAUUUAAUUUGUCAUGGGAUUUAUGGUUUCAUUUUCUCAAUAAUUGAGAUUUAAUGACUAAUCUCAUGAUAUGUAUCAUUCAUAUGAUACCUUAUUUGAUUAUACAAUUCAUCCAAAUUUUCUCUAAUAAUCUAGUAUAACUACAAAUAAUUUGAAUGUUUCUUGGACUUAUAUAUUUGUGAUUGUAAGGGUUAUAUGUAUUGAUUGUUGUUAUCAAUACAAUAUAACAAUUCAAGAAACAUAUAAAGAGUUAUUAUAUUCAUCGAUCAAAAGAUUAAUAUCAUAUUAAUCUAUGCAAAAUAAUUGGUUGACUUUAUAUGAAUGGAUCUGCUGGCUUAUUGAAUCUCUGCUACCUUAUUACGAGAUAAAUAUCUAAAGGUAUGAUUUCAAUAUGAGUUUGCCUCUACGUUUCUAUUAUUAUUUGGAAUUAUGUAAUAUUUUUGUGCACUAUACUUAUGUUCAUUUAUCUCAUAUUAUAAUAUCAACAUUAGUAUGGUUGAUUACAUUUGAAUUUCAGAGAAUUUCCUUUAUAAAGUUUGUCUUGCAUCUCAAUUAUUUGAUGCAUGAAGUAUUUUAAUCACAUAAAGAUUGGUGGUUAAAAAUGAAUAUAAAAAAAGGAAAAUUGAGAAAUUCUUUUGUCAAAACACAAAAUUUUUGACUAUUUUGGUAUUUUUAUAAACUCUAGCACACUUUAUGUUUGAGAGUAGCCAUAGCAUCUCAAACAUUGGUGUACUACAAUUUUUAUCAUAUAUAGUUCAGUGAUUAAAAUCAAGGAUUUCUAGUUAACAAGUUGGCUACUUAUUUUCUAUGAAUAUUCAUUUUAGAAGUUUUCUUGGAUCAUAUAUUUGGAAGUAGUCACAACAUCUCAAAUAUAUGGUGUAAAGAACAUUAAUCACAUAAGAUUAAGUGAUUAUAAAAGGAAAGGAAAAUUCAAUGAAAUUCAGUCAACAUAAAGUUUUUGACUAUUGACAAAUAACAAGAUACCAUGCUAAGAAUUUCACUUUUAUAUUAUAUAUUUAGGAGUAGUCACAGCAUCCCAAAUAUUUGAUGAGAAAACUUUUCAUCAUAUACAAUUUGGUGAUUGAAAUUAUGAAUUUUUAGUCAAUAUUAACUAGUUGACAAUUUUUCUUAUAACACCGUAUACUUAGAAGUAACCACAACAUCUUAAGUAUAUUGGUGUUUGGAGAAAUUUUGUAUUUUUUUUUCACAUAUUGUUGAGUGAUUAAAGAAAUUAAAAAAAAUGGCAUCUAUAUCAAGUUACAAUUAAUUCAUUAAAAUAAUUAUUGACAAACGCGAGGUAUACAUAUAACAAUUAACUCAUCUACAAUCAAAUUUUACAAUUAUAAAUCCUAAAUACCCCACACUCAAUUUUUUGCAAGUAUACGAGUCGUGAUUAAAUAUAGGGUAUUAAAGGUUGAACCUACAGGUUAGAUUAUCAAUUACCGAUGAUUUUCAAAUUUCUUUAUUAUUUAGACUAUGACAAAUGUAAGAAAUUAAAUCUACACUAUAAACAUAAAAUAAAAGUAAUACAAAUAAUAAUAUAAAACUCCUAGAGGUAUGAAAUUCCUUACUACUCUCACAAAUGACAUACCGGUUAAGUGAAUGCUAUUAUCUUGAUUAAUUACGACGUAAUUUCCUAAUGUAUGUGAAACCUACUCUCGUAGUGAAUCAACUGUACUUGUAAGUAAGCCAUACCUACUUUUGUAGUUAUGAAAUUAAUUACAAACUCAUUUCUUCUAUGAAAUUACAUGAAACAAGUCACUAAACCCACAUAGGUGCACAUCUACUCUUGUGAGUGUACUUCCUAGUUAUCACUUUCUUGAACUAGUGUUAAAUUUCAAUUUUCAUUUGCAAACUUAACACCUUAACAUUAUCACAAUUAAUGGCCGGUUAAUCAUGAUUAGAAAAGCAAAAGUGAUAAAUAACUUGUUCAAAAUAAUAUCAUCAAAUAACCAAGUAAAUAUCACUAACAAGAUAUGAAAAGUUUAUUCAUAAUUUUAGGCAUAAACUUUAAUAAAAUAUGAAAACAAAUACCAAACUUGUAUUAUAACUAAAUAUAAAAUCAAAUACAAAAGAGAAAGUGCUAGGAGAGAAGUCAACCUUGUCACAUAAGUUUCAAACUCUCUAUCUUUGCUUUUCAAAUCUUCAUCCAAAUCUAGUUAUAAGUACAAGAAAGAAAAACUACACUAACUAUACUACACUAGUGAACUAAGAAAAACUAGUGAAGACUAUCAAAAUUGUGGAGUUUCUCUAGCCUUCCAAAAUUGUGAAAAAUAUCCUCCAAGGCUGCUAUUUAUAGAGAGAUUCAAGAUCAAGAAGAGUUGUUUCUAGUUGACAUUUUUUAUUCUUGAAACUCUCAAAGGUUGUUUCUACAAGAUUCUAUACUUACUUGCUUAGAUACAGCUAGAAUUCUUGUAGAAAAAUGGGUCAAAAAACUUGUGUGAAUAGAGCACAAGUUGCAAAGUAAGUUGCAGCCAAAAUUGAAGAAUACACCACCUCGAAAAUGCGACUUAAGAUCGCGUAUUAUACCCACGUUUUGCUCUUUUGCAGGUUUGCUCAUCUUUGGUCAAGUCUUCUCUUUGCUCUAUUUUUGGUCCAAAUUCAACUAAUAUUUUCUUGAUGAUAGAAGCUGAACUGAUUCUUGUACGAAACAUGAAAGUUAUAUCCCUUUGAUUUAGCUUUCCAAUGCCUCUAGAAUCAUCUAAUUUGAAGUUUUGUGGACCGAUAAAUGAUCAAAACACCCUUGACUGGUCAAUCCCCUAUUUCAACUUUCGGCAACAAAAUUGCACUUCUAUAUUUUGACAAUGAAAACGACUGGACUGAAUUUCGAGGUUCUCACGAAAAAUAUAGAUCUAUCUCUUAACUUCAAAAUAGUUUAAAAAUUAUCUCAAUCCAAUACGUGUAUCUCAACAUAUAGCUGAAAUAUCACAAGGUGUCAAAACUAAAAAAACUCCCUUCCUUUUAUUCUUGAUUGCAUUUUCUCUUUUGAACAUUUGGCAAUUCAUGUCUUUUUUAAAUCACUCCAAUUCAUCAAUAAUCAUUCAAAUAUCUUUUCAAGUCAGUACAAUUGAUGAUUGAAUCAUUAAACCUACAAAAACAUGAAAUUUUCACCAUUAAAAUUCAUAGAAAUGCAAUUUUUUGACACUUAAAUCAUAAAAUGCAUAUUUUUACUAAAAACUUAGUUCAUGAGCUAUAAAAGUAAAUAAAAUACACCAAAAUCAAAUAAUAAAACACCAAUUCUUCUAUUUUAAAAACAUAUCUUUAUACCAUCUAAAAUCUGAUAAUGUUGGGCAUCUUAAAUUUGUUAAGAAUGUUUUAUUUGAAUUUAAUUCUUCUUUAGGAUUUCCUAUAAAAUACAUUACUAUUGUUACUAUUAAAAAUUCUGCAGCAUCUGACUGUAUUUGAAUAUUUCCUUGAUCAUCUUCUAUUUCUUGUGUAUGAUCUAAUAUUGAUAAUUUAUCUUGUAAUGUUAAAGCAUUAUCCCACCAAUUCUUUAAUUGUCCAGUAAAUCCUGAGACUAAUAAAGUUGCAAUAUUUCUUUCUUGAAUAUUUUUAAUUUUAUAGGCUAAUCUCGCCAUUCCCAUUUCUUGCAAAUUAUUUAAUACUUCAUAUUCUGCUUUGCCAUCUAUGUUCCAUUCAUAUAUUGAGUCUCCAUCAUAUUUAGUUGUUCUAAAUUUUGAUCUUUCUUCAUAUUGAAUAUCCGGAGGACUUGGUCUAGGAUAAUAAUGAUAUUUGUGAAACCCUUCUAUCAUUGAUAUUCACAAAAUAGAAUGUAAAAGAUAGUUAAUCUAUUUUAAGAUCUUCAUGCAAGAGUUCUUUGAUUACUUUUAAGUAAUAAUAGUGAACAAUUGCAUAAUGUUCACAUCAUGCAUUGGAAUGAAUAUAUAAAUUCAUUAAGGAUGCUAUGAAGUUAUACCAUAGGCAUCUGCCGUUUGACAUAAAGUUUGUCGAUAUCACACUAUAGAUAUUCGAUUCGACUUUAUAUGUAUACAUGAAAGAGUGGGAAUCAAGAUAAGCAAGUUGACAUAAGGUAUUCAAUAGUUAUUUAGAAAGUAAAAUUUAGCUGUUAAGUAUACAACAAGAAGUUAUUAUUGUUGAUCAAACAACUAAAGGUUGCUAUUAUUGUUGAUCAAAUAACUCACAUGGAACUCAGUAGUUCAUUUAGUAUUUUGCUAUUAUUUUCAAACUAUUGUUAUUGUCUAGACACGUGAGAUACUUAUAUUUACAUGAUUUUGUGCACAUUGUUCUUCAUGUAUAAAGUAAGGAUCAUGUGAUCCAUAAAGUUGGACCAUGAAUAACUUAUAUGAAGUUAUUCAUAAAGUUCUUUUAAAGCAAUUGAUUAGGAAGUAUAAUACACUGUAAUACAUAGAAGGAAGUGUUUGCUAUGAAAGUAUAACCGUUAUGAUUCGUGUAUUAUUAUUUUCUAAUUAAGCAACUGUUACAUAACUGUUGAACUUGGUGAGUGACAAACAAGGUUUAUGACCAUUUUUAAAUAAAUAGUCACUCAUAAGUUAUCUGACUAUUCUGUGUGAGUCAAGUGGGAGAAUGUAAGACUUGCCUCUUUUGGAAACAAUUAUAACCCAUAUGAUUGAUUUUAAAGUGAUUGAUAUCAUAAUUAAUUGAUUGACAUUUUGUCAAUAAUUAAUUAGCUUGUCCCAUUAGAUAAUGAUUGUGAUUGAUAUCUUGAUUAAUUGAUUGAUAUUUUAUCAAUAAUUAAUUAGUAUCUCGUAUUUUUUAAUGAUUGAUUGAUAUCUUUGAUUGCAUGGAAGAUAUCUUUAAUUACAAUAAUAUCUUUGAUUACAUUGAUUAAUUAUUGAUAUCUUUAAUCACUCAACUUGUUGAUUACAUGGAAGGAAGUGUUUGCCAUGAAAGUAUAACUGUCAUGAUUUGUGUAUUAUUAUUUUCUAAUUAAGCAAAUGUUACAUAACUGUUGAACUUGGUGAGUGACAAACAAGGUUUAUGGCCAUUUUUAAGUAGUUAGUCACUCAUAAGUUAUCUGACUAUUUCAUAUGGGUCAAGUGAGAGAAUAUAAAACUUGUCUCCUUUUGAAACAAUUAUGACCCACAUGAUUGAUUCUGAAGUGAUUGAUAUCAUAAUUAAUUGAUUGACAUUUUGUCAAUAAUUAAGUAACUUCUCCCAUUAGAUAAUGAUUGGUGAUUGAUAUCCUGGUUAAUUGAUUAGUAUCUCUCAUUUGUUAAUGAUUGAUUGAUAUCUUUGAUUGAUAUCUUGUUUAAUCAGUUGAUCAAUCAAAUCAAUCAAUUAGUCAGAAAAUAUUAUUUUCAGUUAUGAAUUUUGACAAGAUUUCCUUAGUGGAAGGAAAUCUCAAAAAUUUUUGUAUUUGCUAGUAAGGGUCCCUAGCCUAACAUAUAAAUAGUCUGUGGUGUUCCAUCAAUAAUACACUUUUGGGUUAGACAUAGAUUAGAAGAUCCUUACUCUAAAUUCUCCUUCUACUUUUCCUUCUUCUACACAUUUUGUUUUGUUAGAGUAGACAAGAAGAAAUCAAAGACACUAGAAAAGAUUAACUUGUGCUUGGCAACAAUGGUUAGAGAUAAGAGUAUUUAAAUUUUCGCUGCAUAGUACAUUCAUAUGUAUAUAAUUAGUUAACACCGCAACCUUUAAAUCAUUAACUGCAUUAUUUCUGUUUUUGUGCUUUAAGCCCAUUAUACCAAAAGUUUAUUACCAAGUAGGGGCACAGUUUCUGUAUGCAGGUAGAGGAUUCCUUUGCCUGUACCUAACGCAAUUCUCAACCUUAUAGUGAAACUAAGAGGCUCUUUAGACUUCCCUGCGAUAUUACAGGCAAUACACCAACUCUGCAUUAACAACCACUAAAAUUACAUGAGGAAGCACCGGCUGAAGUAAUUUGCUGCUACUAAACUACUCAGAUAAAGUAUAAGUUCAAUACACCUGUGGAUCCAAAUUUUGUCUAUUUACCUGCGCCUUAUUCCUAAACGGGGUCCAGAGGAAGAAAUAUAGAACAAAGAAAGAAAUAUGCCAAUUUGUAUCCAGCAGAACACAAACACACACUUGUUGGUGUGCCAUUGUGUCUCCACUUGCACAAGCUCAUCCUCAUAGUAAAUAUAAGUGAGAGUUCAUACUAUGUUACUUAAGCCAAUAUUAAAUAAAAAAAAAGGAAAAAAAAAGAGUAGGGGCACAGUUGACUGGCAUUUUUGAACUUACGCAAAACAGUAAAAUGCGUUUGCCGGGAGUCGAACCCGGGUCUAUUGCUUGGAAGGCAAUUAUCCUAACCGUUGGACUACAAACGCUGGUUCCUGCUUAAGGUGACACAACAUUAUAUAUUAUUAAUACUUUGGUAGCAAGUAGUAACUAAGGUACCCACGCCAAUAGUCCAAUUGCGAGCAAUCAAAACGUAAAAAUUUUGUUCUUCCAGAAGUCCAUAUUAUUUUAACGUGGAAAUAGUAAUACGAGCUAAAAAGUAAAAUUAAGUAGUACGAUGUUGACCAGUGACAAAUGACACAUAAUCAAUUGACUUUCAAAACAAAAUUGAACUUGUCAACUUGUAACCAUUUCCUCUCUUUCUUUAGCAAACAAAUCAAUCUAUUUCUAAGAAAAUUAUAGGCAAAAAAGCAUUACUAAUAAAUAGGCAAACUUUAAGCACGACAUUAACAAGACUAGUGACAAAAUUUACCUUAAUUAACUAACUGUUGCUCAACCAACGGCCCUUUGGGCAGUUGGUCACUCCACCAAAGACUUUAAGUCUUUGUGGGGUAGUUGGUCAUCAUCAAAAAAUCUAAAAUUUUAAAUCUUUGGACAGUUAAUCACCGCCAAGAUUUGAAUUUGCUUCUCAUCAAUGUGUCAUUAUAUGUAAUUUCUUCUAAAUGUAUAGAGAUGCGUAGUGUACCUAUUUAGGUCGAUAGUAGUUCAGUUUCUUUCGAUUUUUCUAGGUCUCGUUAGACCUCUCGCCAAGUUAGGUUAGAUGUUGCGAUUUGAUAAAAAAAAAUUUAAUUGUUACUCAAACGCGAAAAAUUUCAACAUGUAAAUUGAGUUUGUAAAGAAAUCGCUGUAUUUAUUAGAUAAUUAGUAAAUUGAGUUUGCAAACCACUGGGUCGGAAAUUCUGCUAAGGACUCUUGGAGAAGCUUAAGAUUCCUAGCCGCCACAUGUUCUGGCCUUUUCAACCACUCUUUAGGCCGUUUGCAAUACGGUGGAAUGAUCGUAUUGAUGGAAUUGGUGGCGGUGAUUGCCCGGUUGGCCUUUGGCUAUGCUUGGAGUAGUUGUAGAAGCUAUGAAAUUAUAUUGAUCUCUCUUUUAUCAGGUAAUUAUUUGUGGUUAAAAUAAUUUGUCUUUUUUUUAACCCUUCUUAUUUGCUAAACUUCAUUCUAAUCCAUUUUCCUGAUAAUUUAAUUUCUCAAUUCAUAAAGCUCAUCCUAAGAGUACAAUCAACAGUGAUAACAAAAUUUGCAUUGAUCCAGUAAAAGUUUGUGAAAUCUUUCCUAACUAAGGUACUUGCUUAUAACUUUACAUUAUGCUCUAAUUAUUGCUCGAUCGAUGACUUCGAGAAAAGGGACCAUAGUUUCCAAAAUUUGAGGUACUUCAUUAAAAAAAAAUGGACCUUAAUUUGAUCCCCUAUGUGGCUAAAAUAAUUGAUACGUUUUCGAAAUGAUAUAUGGAUCACUUUGUUUUAAUUUUUGGUCAACAACGAAAAUACUUUGUUUUAUAUGUUGGGAACUAAAUUAAAAUGCCCUCAAACUGUGAAAGACUACUUUAGCAACUUCCCGUCAUUGGACUACUUACAAUGUUACACCUCUCAUGUACUGAAAAAGAAAAAAAUUAUCUACACAAUAUAUAAGGCUAAAAUUGGAGUACUACGUGACAAUCACAUUUUAAUUUUUUUUUUAUUAUAUCCUUGAUGAUUGCAUAAGUAAAAUGGUCUCAAUAUAUUAAAAAUAAAAACAAAAGUGUAGAAUUUGAAUAAUAUUGGGAGUGUUUGGAUAGCUUUUUAUUGGAAAAUUUUUUUGUACUUACAACAUAAAUACAUUUUCUUUACCAUUUUAUCUUUUUAACUACUUUUCUAUUUCAUAUACAUUAUAUUAUUAAAUGUGUUCCAGUACUGUAGUAUUCCAAAAAAAAUAUUCUCAAAUAAUCUUCUAUCUGAAAUUUAACUCGAAUAGAGUGAAAACAUAACAAAAAUAUUUUAACAAAGCCCAUUUUUGCCUAUGUAUGAGAAGAAAGAGGAGUACAUGGGUAGCUUUUUUAUUCGUUUUUCUAAUUAAAAGUUAGAAGCACAAGCUUAAAAUAAAAAUCAACUUGGGUAAUUGUCUCCGAAUUUUUUCUUUUUCUUUUUUUUUGUGGUAAAAGGAAUUACACUUGUGGACUUGAUAAUCUAUCUUAAUGAGACAGAUUUCUGUAAAAGUAUCACAUAACUGAGAAAAGUUUGAUAAUCUUGGUCUUAUCUUAAUCAAUUGAACAUGAGGUUAGAAAUAACUUGUGGUUUCUGGAGCUACGCCUAAUCAUCUUGCUAACAAACCUACUCUUUCUCCUAACAAAUCAUGAUUUGAUGUUAGUUAGUUCAUCAUAUAUUUUAAGAAACUGUCACUAAACUACUAUAAUUAAUUUCGUAUUAGGUUUGUAUCGUAUUUUCAGGUCGUGUUAGAAAUUACCAUCCCUAAUUAAAGCUAGCUUGGAAUACUAAAGCUCAAAUUAUCCCACAAAAAAAAAAAGAAAAUGCAUACACGACUGUUAAUAUCUGCCUUACUAAUCAUGCAGAUUUUGUAAUCUCGAAAACAAUCAUAAAUUUUGACAAAAAAAAAAAAAGAAGAAAACAAUCAUAAAGUGUUCUCCACUUAAAUACUUUGAUACUUGUCUUGAUCCUAUUUUCAAGUUGCUCUCAUUUUGUAACAAGUAAUAAAUCAAGAGUUUUUGUAACGUUUGCUCAUAAGGCACUUAUUAACACACUUAAUAUUUAUCUAACUUACAAUGUAUAUACACAUACUAAUAAUUAUUAUCUUUGCUUGCAUUUAUAUACUUUUUCUAUUUAAUUUUACUUACUUUAUCUUGUAUUUAUUUACUUUCCCUAAUUAAUCUUACAUUUCUAAAAAUAUGACACAUGAAAUAUAUCUUAACGAGUAUCCUAUGAGCACCAGUUAGAUAAUGAUUCUUACAAAUAAGUUUGACAAUGACUAGGGCAAAAAUUUAUUUUUGGAAAGACUUGACCUUUAUUUCUGUCUUAGUGUGACCGAAAAUUUUGUUUAAGCAUUAGAAUUUUUCAAAGCUCAAAAAAUUAAAAAUAUUGCACAAAAUUACCAAAAAGAUUACAAUAAAAUUUGAGGAAAUGGUCAAUAAUGAGGUGCUAUGCUUUUAUUAUCUAUUUAAAUAUAACUAAAAGUCUUUUUGAACCCCGUUUGAUAAUCCAAUUCAACACUUAAAUUUAAUAGAUUCAGAUCUUAACAUGUUCAAAUACGUUUGAUAACCAAAACUAGAACAUCUGAAUGAAUUAAAUGGUUCUAAAUUUUUUAGGCAAAAUUUGCUCCAAAAAUGUACACUUAAAUAUAUCAGAUUUAGUAUAUAAUAUUUCACUAACUUAAUGGAUUUAGAUUACAAAUUUCAGAUUUCAAUUUUUAGAUUUCAGUUUUAUCAAAUACACAAGUGAGCUAUCCCAACAAAUUUGGAGACAUAAGUACAAAUUGUUCCCUUAAGGAUUAGAAUUUUUCAAAGCACAAAAAAUUGAAUAUAUGGGUGAAAAUUACCAAAAAAGAUUACAAUAAAAUUUGAGGAAAUGGUCAAUAAUGAGGUGCUAUGCUUUUAUUAUCUGUUCAGAUAUACCAAAAUGUCUUUCUGAUUGUUUCCUUAUGGAGCAGCCUAUUCAUGCUCGUACCAGUUCUGUCCUUUUUGUUUACAUUUUAGCAACUUUAUAUAUAAUCUCCAUCGCGUACCUUGUACAAACAAGAAUAAAAAGUUUGAAAUUGUAUGUUUUCCAAACUUGGAUAUAAACAAUUUCAAGUUAAUGACAGUACAUGAAUGCCAUGAUUCAAAGGCUGACUAAUUUCAUCUCUUUGAAGCUUUCGAUAGUAUCCUUGAGGCUCACCUCCAAAGGCAUGAACUCAAUGCCCAAACCUUUUACUUUCUCAUUUGAUACAUCAUAUUUCAGCUGAAUUAGUGGACUGCCAUUAGAACAU
rnacentral:lncRNA from 1 species